UUAAGUUAAAAUUUUAAGGGCUUAUAACGGAUCCCUUGGUAUCCAGAAGCGAUGAAGGACGUUACAACCAACGAAAUUUUUCGGGAAGCUGGCAGUAAGCAUUGAUCCGGAAUGUCUCCGAAUGAGGCAACUCAAUAAUUUCUUACUGAAUCUAUAAGUAAGUUAAGGCGAACCUUGGGAACUGAAACAUCUUAGUACCAAGAGGAAAAGAAAGUAAAAACGAUUUCCGUAGUAGUGGCGAACGAAAUGGAAAAAGCCUAAACCUAUUUAAAAAAUAGGGGUCGUGGGGUAAAACAAUUAAAAGCUUAGCUUUAUUAGACUAAAUAGUUUGAAUACUAUACCAUAGAAAGUAAAAGUCUUGUAGUCGAAAAUAAAGCAGCACUAGUUUUAUACCCGAGUAAUAUGGAACACGAGGAAUUCCGUAUGAAUCUGCGAGGACCAUCUCGUAAGGCUAAAUAUUACUGGAUAUCCGAUAGUGAAUUAGUACCGUGAGGGAAAGGUGAAAAGAAUCCCGGAAGGGAAGUGAAAAGAACGUGAAAUUAUAAGCUUACAAACAGAAGUAGAACGACUUAGCGUUUGUCUUCGUGCCUGUUGAAGAAUGUUCCAACGAGUUAUAAUUAGUGGCAGGUUAAAACAUUCUAUGUUGGAGCCAAAGUGAAAGCGAGCUUGAAUAGAGCGUUAGUCUCUAAUUAUAGACCCGAACCCGCUUGAUCUAACCAUGGCCAGGAUGAAAGUUAGGUAACACUAAGUGGAGGUCCGAACCGACUAAUGUUGCAAAAUUAGCGGAUGAGUUGUGGUUAGCGGUGAAAUGCCAAUCGAAAGCGGAGCUAGCUGGUUCUCCCCGAAAUGUAUUUAGGUGCAGCGAUUAACUUUAAUUAUUGGGGUAAAGCACUGUUUUAAUGAGGGCUCGUAACACAGUACCAAAUUGAGGCAAACUCUGAAUACGAUAUGGAUAGUUAAUUAGUAAGACUACGAGGGAUAAGCUUCGUAGUCAAGAGGGAAAGAGCCCAGAUCACCAGUUAAGGCCCCUAAAUAAUUACUAAGUGAUAAAGGAAGUGAAAAUACUUAAACAACCAGGAGGUUCGCUUAGAAGCAGCAAUCCUUUAAAAAGUGCGUAAUAGCUUACUGGUCUAGUAAUUUUGCGCCGAAAAUUUACGGGACUCAAGUAAUUUGCCGAAACUGUGAGACAUAUUUAUUAUGUCGGUAGGGGAGCGUUCCAUUGUUGAUUGAAGUAUUAACGAAAGUGAAUAUGGACAGUAUGGAAGUGAGAAUGUUGGAUUGAGUAACGAAAACAUUGGUGAGAAUCCAAUGCUCCGAAAUUCUAAGGUUUCCUUCGCAAGGUUCGUCCACGAAGGGUUAGUCAGGGCCUAAGGCGAGGCUAUUUGCGUAGUCGAUGGAUAAUAGGUUAAUAUUCCUAUACUAAUUUUUAUUUGUAUUGAGGGACGAAGAAGGCUAAAUUAGCCGAGUUGUGGUAUGCUCGGUUUAAGUUAUCAAGGCGUAGAUAAAUAGAAUUAAAAACUAUUUAGAGCUAAGAAAUUAAUACAAAAUUAGUAAUAAUUAAAGUAAUUGAUGUCAUACUUCCAAGAAAAGCUCAUAAUACGUUAAGUAAAAAUUACCUGUACCGUAAACCGACACAGGUAGAAUGGUAGAGAAUACCAAGGAGCGCGAGAUAAUUCUCUUUAAGGAACUCGGCAAAAUAACUCUGUAACUUCGGAAUAAAGAGUACCUAUUAGGUUUCAAUAACAAGUUCCAAGCAACUGUUUAUCAAAAACACAGGUCUCCGCAAAGUUGUAAAACGACGUAUGGGGGCUGACGCCUGCCCAGUGCCAGAAAGUUAAGGAAGUUGGUUAUUUUAAAAAAAUUUUUUAAAAAAAGCUAACAACUGAAGCCCUGGUGAACGGCGGCCGUAACUAUAACGGUCCUAAGGUAGCGAAAUUCCUUGUUGGGUAAGUUCCAACCUGCACGAAUGGCGUAAUGACUUGGAAGCUGUCUCAAAGAGAAACUCGGUGAAAUAGAAAUGUCUGUGAAGAUGCGGACUACCCGCGCCUGGACAGUAAGACCCUAUGAAGCUUUACUGUAUUUUGACAUUGAAAUUUUCUUUUAUUUGCGCAGAAUAGGUGGGAAACGUUGAGUUUAUUUUUUCGGAAAUAAAGGAGUUAACAGUGAGAUACCACUCUAAUAAAAUAAAGUUUCUAAUUUCAUCUCGUAAUCCGAUUGAAAAACAGUGUCAAAAAGACAGUUUGACUGGGGCGGUCGCCUGCUAAAAAGUAACGCAGGCGUACAAAGGUUUCCUCAAAUCGUUUAGAAAGCGAUUGAAGAGUGUAAAGGCAUAAGGAAGCUUAACUGUGAGACCUACAAGUCGAACAGAGACGAAAGUCGGUCUUAGUGAUCUGACGUUGCUGUAUGGAAAGGGCGUCACUUAACGGAUAAAAGUUACUCUAGGGAUAACAGGCUAAUCUCCCCAUAGAGUUCCUAUCGACGGGGAGGUUUGGCACCUCGAUGUCGGCUCAUCGCAUCCUGGAGCGGAAGUACGUUCCAAGGGUUGGGCUGUUCGCCCAUUAAAGCGGUACGUGAGCUGGGUUCAGAACGUCGUGAGACAGUUCGGUCCAUAUCCGGCGUGGGCGUUUUAGAGUAUUGAGAGUGACUUUUCUCUAGUACGAGAGGACCGAGAAAAAUAUACCUCUGGUGUACCAGUUAUCGUACCAACGGUAAACGCUGGGUAGCUACGUAUAGUUAGGAUAACCGCUGAAAGCAUCUAAGUGGGAAGCCGUCCUCAAGAUGAGUACUCUUAGGUUACAGCUAGACUAGCUGUUUGAUAGGAAUCCGGUGUAAGUAUAGUAAUGUAUGUAGCCAAGAUUUACUAAUAACCGUUUUUAACUAAU
rnacentral:rRNA from 1 species